ACAUAUUCUGUUAAUUUGACUGGGAACAUGUCAGGGUCUAAAGUGAAAGUGGGUGAGGAAGAUUGCAUUGAAAACCGAAUGGACUUGGUGUUACUUUUAUAUCCUCAAUUUGCUUCUCUCUUGGAAUAGAGAGACUCUGCCAGUGUUGUGCUACAUGGUUGCUCAUUGAGCAGUUCCUUUUACGACAUCAUAAUUGGAGGUGGGAAUGUGCAGGGGAUUCCUAUCGAAGUGUUCCAGAUAUCCCAAGUGGUAGAAGACUCUCUUAGAAGGGCUCAGCAUCUGAAAAUACAUCUGCUAAACUCUUACUCAAUGGGGUUGGAUGGUCA